rnacentral:rRNA from 1 species
UGGGGAAUAUUGGACAAUGGGCGCAAGCCUGAUGACGCAACGCCGCGUGGGGGAUGAAGGUCUUCGGAUUGUAAACCCCUGUCGAAUGGGACGAAAGACUCGCGAGUUAAUACUUCGCGGGAGUGACGGUACCGUUAAAGGAAGCCACGGCUAACUCUGUGCCAGCAGCCGCGGUAAUACAGAGGUGGCAAGCGUUGUUCGGAAUUACUGGGCGUAAAGGGCGCGUAGGCGGCCUACUAAGUCAGACGUGAAAUCCCCCGGCUUAACCUGGGAACUGCGUCUGAUACUGGAAGGCUUGAGUAUGGGAGAGGGAUGUAGAAUUCCAGGUGUAGCGGUGAAAUGCGUAGAUAUCUGGAGGAAUACCGGUGGCGAAGGCGGCAUCCUGGACCAUUACUGACGCUGAGGCGCGAAAGCUAGGGGAGCAAACGGGAUUAGAUACCCACGUAGUCCCUGAGCGGGCUGGCAAGGCGCAU